UGAGGCAGGAGAAUUGCUUGAACCCAGGAGGUGGAGGUUGCAGUGAGCCGAGAUCGUGCCACUGCACUCCAGCCUGGGUGACAGAGUGAGACUCCGUCUCA
rnacentral:miRNA from 1 species